GUAGGUGGCAAGCGUUGUCCGGAAUUAUUGGGCGUAAAGCGCGCGCAGGCGGUUCGUUUAAGUCUGAUGUGAAAGCCCACGGGCUCAACCGUGGAGGGUCAUUGGAAACUGGAGAACUUGAGUACAGAAGAGGAAAGCGGAAUUCCACGUGUAGCGGUGAAAUGCGUAGAGAUGUGGAGGAACACCAGUGGCGAAGGCGGCUUUCUGGUCUGUAACUGACGCUGAGGCGCGAAAGCGUGGGGAGCAAACAGGAUUAGAUACCCUGGUAGUCCACGCCGUAAACGAUGAGUGCUAAGUGUUAGGGGGUUUCCCGCCCCUUAGUGCUGCAGCUAACGCAUUAAGCACUCCGCCUGGGGAGUACGGCCGCAGGCUG
rnacentral:rRNA from 1 species